rnacentral:lncRNA from 1 species
UUUAAGUUGAACAAUCGAAUUUAAAAGAAGAAAUAACAGAAUUAAGUUGAGUAAUUGAAUAUUUGAAUUUAAAGGAAAGAAAGAACUUACAGAACAGUAUUAAAUCGGAUUGAAUUGAAUUUGAACAAUGGAAUAAAACGAAAGAAAGAACUGAACUAAAUUAAAAUUGAACAAUCGAAUUUAAAAGAAUGAAAAGAUUGAAUAGCUAACAGUUAACACAAGAUUGAAUCAAUUCAGAAUUGAGAAGAAUUUAUUAACAUUCGGAAUUGAGUUGACAGUUGAAGUAAUACUCAAGAAAUUGAUUUAGAACAUUAAAACUAAUUAUUUUAACAGAGUAAAAAAUUGAAAAACAGAAUUGAAUUUUCAACUCUACGAGUGUAUGUAGACAAGAAUUCAGAAAAGAAUUUAGGCACAAAACAGUUGACGAAAUCAAGAACUGAAAUUUGACUAUUGGAAUAGAACUUCAAACAGCAAAACUAUGGAUUUAAACUGGAACAAUAUACCUGAAAAAAAGAAACGAAAAUGCAAUGUUUUACCAAAAUGACAACGAGUACACUGAGAUCAACUUCGGAAGAUCAGAGAGAAGAAAACUCACCAAUGGAAAAUGAUUUCCAGUUCCUUCUCCAACUCUUCUCCCUGGUUUUAUAACUUCCUGCCCUCUUUCAUUUUUUCAAUUUAUUCG